rnacentral:rRNA from 1 species
CCUACGGGAGGCAGCAGUGGGGGAUAUUGGACAAUGGGGGGAACCCUGAUCCAGCGACGCCGCGUGAGUGAAGAAGUAUCUCGGUAUGUAAAGCUCUAUCAGCAGGGAAGAAGAAAUGACGGUACCUGAGUAAGAAGCCCCGGCUAACUACGUGCCAGCAGCCGCGGUAAUACGUAGGGGGCAAGCGUUAUCCGGAAUUACUGGGUGUAAAGGGAGCGUAGACGGUGAUGUAAGUCUGGAGUGAAAGGCGGGGGCCCAACCCCCGGACUGCUCUGGAAACUAUGUGACUGGAGUGCAGGAGAGGUGAGCGGAAUUCCUAGUGUAGCGGUGAAAUGCGUAGAUAUUAGGAGGAACACCGGCGGCGAAGGCGGCCUGCUGGACCGCGACUGACGUUGAGGCUCGAAAGCGUGGGGAGCGAACAGGAUUAGAUACCCCAGUAGUC